AUGACUGUCCUCUGCUGGCCUGGAAGAGGAAUUCAUGCUUCCACUGAAGGAUCUCCAGAAUAUCAAUGCUUUUCAGAGCUUGUCCUUCCAGAGAAGAUCGAAAAAUCAUUGCUAGUAACAAGCCCACUUGUUAUGAGGGUUCACCUGAACCCUCAGAGAAGAUGAAGAGGAUAUAGAAAUAAUUUUAUUUUAAUUUUGUAUGAACGUCUUACCAUGAUGUUUUAUGGUUUCCAGUGCUGCUCCUAGGAUAUCUGAAGUGUAUGGUGGGUUUUCUUUUUGGUAAAAUAGUACACAGACCAUUAAUAAACAGUAUAAUCUUUUGACCUUGAACUAAAGCAACCCCCUUCAUAGAGUAGGACUUGUAAUUAUUUAUCUUGCUCAGAGAGUGACGUGCUCCGUCUCUCUCCUUUCAAGGCCCUUCCAUCUCCACAGAGCAAACACAUGACACAAGGAACCUGGGAGUACAGACCAACCUACUGCAAGGAAGGAGGAAGCUGAUGGAAGAGCUGCUGGAUAGAACUGAUGGCAGAGAGUGUUCCAGAAUGAGAUCACAAGUUUGGCUGAUAAAGGUGCCUCAGAGAAGGGAACUCCUCAUCAUCUAAGGACUGAGUCUUCCAUACUGUUGAUACUUCAUAAUUAAUAAUGAAUUAAAUAGCAACAUAAACAAUGGAUAUCAAAAUGAAAGAGGUAAAAGAUGCCUUAUUUAUCAGCAAACGAUUGCUGUUCCCAAGGAGUAUAACGUGCAUCAGCACUACGACACGAGGCACCAUGAAAAAUAGGAUGCAUUUACUGGAAAAAUCAUAGAGGAAAAAGUUCGGCAACUUAAAGCAGCAUUUGCCAAGCAAAGAAAUUUCUUUUUGGAGAUUAACAAGUCUAGCGAAGAUUCAGUAAGAGCAAGUUUUAUGAUAAGUGAAAUGAUAACUAAAUCAUCACAACCUUUUACAGAAGGCCUGUUCAUAAAAGAAUGUCUUGUGAAGGCCCGCGAAAUUUUAUGUCCUGAUAGGAAGUUUUUGAAGGCAUAAGCUUGUCUGCCAAAACAUUUGCCUGCAGGAUAAUGGCUUUAGCAGAUAAUGUGCAAAAACAAUUGAUUCAAAUGGAAAAAGACUUUGAAGCAUUUUCAAUUGCUCUUGAUGAGAGUACAGAUGUAUCAGAUGUGCAGUGUUCUUUAGGGGUGUGGAUUGUAAUUUGAAUAUAACUGAAGAAUUGCUAGACUUAAUGUCACUGAAGGGACCACAACAGGACGUGACAUAUUUCAAGGACUGGAAGAGUGCAUUGAAAAAGCUGCACUGCCAUGGAACAAACUCGUAUCUUUGGCGAAGGACGGUGUGCCAUCAAUGUGCUCUGAAAAUGUUGGUGUGGUUGGAUUAUUGAAGACCAAACUGAACAGCUUCAAUAUACCAGGGAUUUGCUUCACCAGUAUAGAUUUCAUUUUGCCCCAAGGAGCCCUAUGUAGUAAAAGUCUACAAAUAAAGGAAGUUAUGGAUGUAGUUGUUAAAACCGUUGAUUUUAUACGUGCACGAGGGCUGAAUCACAGACAGUUCACUUCUUUUCUAGCCAGUAUGGACAGCGAAUAUGGGGAACUUCUAUAUCACACUCAGGUGAGAUGGAUGAGUCAUGGAAAUGUUCUGAAGUGUUUUUUUGCACUUAGAGAGGAGAUUGAUUCCUUCAUGAAAAUGAAAAACAAGGAGGUUCCACAGCUUGCUGAUUCCACUUUUAUCUGCAACCUUGCUUUUCUAACAGAUGUAACUGAUCACCUGAAUGCACUGAACUUGAAGCUUCAGGGUAGAAAACAGGUGAUAACACAGAUGUAUGACAGUGCUAAGUCAUUCAAAGAAAAGCUUACUUUGUGGGGGAAACAGCUGAUUGCUGGCAAUUUGGUCCAUUUCUCGACUCUGAAUUCCUUAGGAAAAGUUGAACCCAAAUCCUUGAAAGAAUAUGCAGGUAUUAUUUCUAACUUACACAAACAGUUUUAUGUGCGGUUUAAAGAACCACAUUUUCAACUUUUUCCCCCCACCAUUUGCUGUGGAAAUUGACAAUGUUGUAGAGGAAAUGCAGAUGGAGUUAGUGGAGCUUCAGUGUGAUACCAUUUUGAAGCAGAAGUAUACAGAUGUUGAAAUUCCAGAAUUCUACUGGUUUCUUUCACAAGAAAG